rnacentral:rRNA from 1 species
AGCGAACGCUGGCGGCAGGCCUAACACAUGCAAGUCGAACGGAUCCUUCGGGAUUAGUGGCGGACGGGUGAGUAACACGUGGGAACGUGCCCUUUGGUUCGGAACAACUCAGGGAAACUUGAGCUAAUACCGGAUGUGCCCUUCGGGGGAAAGAUUUAUCGCCAUUGGAGCGGCCCGCGUCUGAUUAGCUAGUUGGUGAGGUAACGGCCCACCAAGGCGACGAUCAGUAGCUGGUCUGAGAGGAUGAUCAGCCACACUGGGACUGAGACACGGCCCAGACUCCUACGGGAGGCAGCAGUGGGGAAUCUUGCGCAAUGGGCGAAAGCCUGACGCAGCCAUGCCGCGUGAAUGAUGAAGGUCUUAGGAUUGUAAAAUUCUUUCAGCGGGGACGAUAAUGACGGUACCCGCAGAAGAAGCUCCGGCUAACUACGUG